AUGAAGAAUGCAAAUGCCAAGAGAGAAACGGUACACGGAACCUCUAGACCUUCAUCGAGAUGUGAAACCUACGCAUUCUACUCCGGUUUCGUGGCCCCCUUGAUCCAAUUGCUGCCCAAGGAAAAAGAUCAAGAGGUUGCUCAACUGUGGCUCAACAAACUCAACAGUGACGAGAACGAAGCCUACCGAAUACAGUAUGUCUUGCUUCUCUUCUACGCUCUCCACCGCGGGAAACUCUCGUGUCCCUUUGAUCGACCCCCUCCAGAUGGGAAACUCCCCAGGAUAUGUAAUGACAACGAUUGGAUCGUGUAUUAUGAGCGACGGAGAAAAUCUCCUAGCCGCAUCUGCCAUCCCUGCCUGGACAAGGACACCAAGGAGGUCUCGCCGUUGGAUAUCGUCCGGGCUGCAAAAUUCAGAAGUAGGCGAGAAAGUGAUGAGUGCAGACGCAAAGAUGAGGGCGCGUUUCACGAGUUCCAAAAUGACCGGUCGAGAUCGACGGAACGCGUUUCCCGGACUCGCAGAGGGAGUAAUUUCCACCGCCAUGGUGCAGAAUUCCUUCAUUGGGACUGCGCCGAGACUCUCGCAAAGUGUUCUGGCAAGAAACCCAAUGGAGGCGAUAGAAAAACCGCUAAGAAGAGCGAGAAAAGCUCCAAGAAGAACUCCGAGGAAGACGUCGUGGAAAGCACCGAAAAGACCCCUAAGGAAAAAGUCGUAAGGUGCUCCCAAGAACACCCCACAAGAAAUGUUUCGACGUGUUCCAGGAGAAGCUCAGAUAAAAGCCCUGAUAAGCGCUCUCGUGAGAGCACUAAAAAGAGAGUUACAGGUAGCCUCGGGGAGGGCUUUAAAACUAUUUUCGGAGAAAGUCAAGGGAGGGCUCCGAAAAAAGCCGCGGAGAGAGUCCGGAAGAGAUCCGCGGAGAAAAUCUAUGGAAAAAUCGAGAAAAGAGCGUCGUGGGGAACCUCAAGGAGAACCCUGAAAAAGAGUUCAAGAGAAGAGCUUUGGAGAGCUUUGAGGCAUGGCCUGAGAGAGGUGGGCGACAGAGGGCCGGAAAAGGCUCGAGCCCCAUGAAAAUCUGGAGAACGCAGUCCCGAAGAGAACCGGGAGGAGUCCCAGGAGGAGAGCAGAGGACAAAGUCGUUAGGAGCCCAGAAAAGAAGCCCGACACGAGUCCGGAUGAUAAAGCCAUGAAGAACUCAGUUAAAAGGUCCGAGAAGAGUCUGGAAGAUGGAGGUGCUAAGAAUCCCGGAAAGAGGCCCAGAGAGAAGUCAGAGGAUGGAGUCGAGAGGAAUCCUGGAAAGAGGCCUGGAGAGAGUCCAGAAGAUGGACCUGCGAAGAGUCCUUGGAAGAGUCAAGAAGGCAUAUCCGCGAAGAGCUCUGGAAAGAGGUCUAGAGAUCUUCUAGAAAAUGAAAUUGCGAAGAACCCUAAAGAGAGACCUGGGAAGAGUUUGGAAGACAAAAACCGGAAAAGGGAUAUGAGGAGCCCUAGAAAGAGUUCCCAGAGGAGCGUUGCGGAGACCCAACCGGCACAAGGAGACGAUGAUGGAAAGAGCACCGGUCCGAGACUGAUCGCAUCCAAGUCUUAUGUCACGUCAAAGGCCGCAGUGAGCGACACGAAAAUCGGCAAGAGUCUUUCAAUUCAUGUCGAUAUUCACCUGGAGUUCGACAAAAUCCACGGUCUCAAACUCAAACCCGGAGCCAA
rnacentral:lncRNA from 1 species